UACGUAGGGUGCGAGCGUUGUCCGGAAUUACUGGGCGUAAAGGGCUCGUAGGCGGCCCUCUCAGUCGGAUGUGAAAUCCCCAGGCUCAACCUGGGAAUGGCAUCCGAUACUGGAGGGCUUGAAUUCGGGAGAGGGAUGCAGAAUUCCAGGUGUAGCGGUGAAAUGCGUAGAUAUCUGGAGGAAUACCGGUGGCGAAGGCGGCAUCCUGGACCGAGAUUGACGCUGAGGAGCGAAAGCUAGGGGAGCAAACGGG
rnacentral:rRNA from 1 species